rnacentral:rRNA from 1 species
UACAGAGGUCUCAAGCGUUGUUCGGAUUCAUUGGGCGUAAAGGGUGCGUAGGCGGCGCGGUAAGUCGGGUGUGAAAUCUCGGAGCUUAACUCCGAAACUGCAUUCGAUACUGCCGUGCUUGAGGACUGGAGAGGAGAAUGGAAUUUACGGUGUGGCGGUGAAAUGCGUAGAUAUCGUAAGGAAGACCAGUGGCGAAGGCGGGUCUCUGGACAGUUCCUGACGCUGAGGCACGAAGGUCAGGGGAGCAAACGGG